CCAGCCCAGCUAGCAUGUGUAUAGUGGAUCAUUGCUGGCGUUUGAACGGCAAGCCGCCUGUGGUAUGCCACCUGUGUCCGACAUCAGACCACUGACGGUUACAAAACACACAAGGCAUCGGUGGAUUUUGGUUGGCAAUCCGACAUAGUGCACGAGUACUCUGCAGGGUCCAAACAGCGGCAUGCUACCUGACAAUCCAUCUGCGUGAGAGCCAGGUUACAUGCUACCAGCCCCUAGCACCAAUGGAGGAGGACCGCCUACUCAUUUGGUGCCAGCAUCGUUUGCAUCAGAUAAAUCACAACAAAGAUAUGGUGACCCAAGACCCACGGUUAUAUAAGGAGGUGUAUGAAGAAACGACAGCAUAGAGGACCCAGCACAUCCCCUCACAGAUUCCAUGCCUUUCAAAAUAUUAGAACAAGAUUUCAAGGCAUUUUCCUUAAAGAACUUGCAACAUUUCAGGAGUGCGUCACCAUUUGGGUUUUCAUUUUGUACAAUACAUCACCUAACACCAAGAACGCUACAUUUUGUAAGCUAUGUUUCUUGCAUUGCCAGUAACCAAUAUUUAAAAGAAAAAAGAAUGUGUAUAUAUAAAUUGAUAUCUUAUUUGUCAUUAUUUACACUUUCAUUACUGUACAUUGAAAAAAAAUAGACAGUGUUUUCUUUUCACAAUAAAAUUGUAUUUACAUAUGU